GGGCGCUUUGCAUUCUCUCGCUGUGUGUGGGUAUACAGUGUGUACGCAGCUGUGCUCUCUUGCGGAGUGUGUUUUUUUCACCAUCCUCCGGUGGAGGGGGCCCGUGCAACCGAAUACAGCAUGUAGGACCGGGAUCACCUCGGUGUCUCAAGACGCGUUUCCCGGGAUCAAACGGAAAAACGGAUUAUAUUACCCAUUGUUUAUGGACUGUUAUUAACGGACGCCAGCAGGGAUAUAACGUGGGAUUUUAACAGCUGGAUAAGGGAGGGGAGAGGGGGUUUGUCCUCGGUAAAUGAGCGGAGAGGAAGCUUCCAUUUUGAGAGAAUCAUGGCGAGCGACUCCCCGGCCCGGAGUCUGGAUGAGAUAGACCUGUCAGCACUACGGGACCCAGCUGGUAUAUUUGAACUAGUGGAGUUGGUGGGAAAUGGAACCUACGGUCAGGUCUACAAGGGUCGCCAUGUCAAAACUGGCCAGCUUGCCGCUAUCAAAGUUAUGGACGUCACUGGCGAUGAGGAAGAGGAGAUUAAAGCAGAGAUCAACAUGUUGAAGAAGUACAGCCAUCAUCGGAACAUUGCUACCUAUUACGGUGCCUUCGUCAAGAAGAAUCCUCCUGGCAUCGACGACCAGCUAUGGUUGGUGAUGGAGUUCUGUGGGGCGGGCUCGGUGACCGACCUGAUUAAGAACACCAAGGGGAACUCUCUGAAGGAGGAGUGGACGGCCUACAUCUGCCGAGAGAUCCUCAGGGGUCUGACCCAUCUCCACCAACACAAGGUCAUCCACAGAGACAUCAAGGGUCAGAAUGUCCUGCUGACAGAGAACGCAGAGGUCAAACUGGUGGACUUUGGAGUGAGUGCCCAGUUGGACCGUACGGUGGGGAGGAGGAACACGUUUAUAGGGACGCCAUAUUGGAUGGCUCCUGAAGUCAUCGCCUGCGACGAGAACCCUGAGGCCACCUACGACUUCAAGAGUGACCUGUGGUCUCUGGGUAUUACGGCUAUAGAGAUGGCAGAAGGAGCACCACCACUGUGUGACAUGCACCCAAUGAGAGCUCUCUUCCUCAUCCCCAGAAACCCCGCCCCCAGACUCAAGUCUAAGAAGUGGUCUAAGAAGUUUCAGUCGUUCAUUGAGAGUUGCUUGGUGAAGAGUCAUGGUCAGAGACCCAGCACAGAACAGCUGUUGAAGCACCCCUUCAUCAGAGAGCUGCCUAACGAACGACAGGUCCGCAUCCAACUGAAGGACCAUAUCGACAGAACCAAGAAGAAACGCGGAGAGAGGGAUGAAACAGAGUAUGAGUACAGUGGCAGUGAGGAAGAGGAGGAGGAACGGGACAUGGGGGAGCCAAGCUCCAUCAUCAACGUCCCUGGAGAGUCGACGUUAAGGCGGGACUUCCUGCGGCUGCAGCUAGCCAAUAAGGAGCGUUCUGAGGCUCUGCGGAGGCAGCAGUUGGAGCAACAGCAGAACGAGGAACACAAACGUCUCCUGUUGGCAGAGCGACAGAAACGCAUAGAGGAGCAGAAAGAGCAGAGGAGGAGACUGGAGGAGCAACAGCGUAGGGAGCGUGAGAUGAGGAAGCAACAGGAGAGAGAACAGAGGAGACGCUAUGAAGAGAUGGAACAACUACGGAGAGAUGAGGAGAGGAGGCACGCAGAGAGAGAACAGGUACACACACAGGAGUACAAGCGUAAGCAGAUGGAGGAGCAGCAUCAGGCUGAGCGUCUCCAGAGACAGCUGCAGCAGGAGAGAGCCUACCUGGUGUCCUUACAGCAGCAGCAGCAGCAGGAGCCACGGCCACAAGACAAGAAACAGCUGUAUCACUACAAAGACACAGCCCCUAAUAACGACAAACCUGCCUGGGCCAAGGAGGUGGAGGAGCGUUCCAAGCUGAACAGACAGAGUUCUCCAGGUCUGCAUCAUAAAGUGUCCAACCGUAUUUCCGACCCAUCCCUGCCUCCCCGAUCCGAGUCCUUCAGCAGCGGGGGCAUUCAGCAGGCCCGAACACCACCCAUGAACCGCUCUACAGAACCACAGGUGCCACAGAGGACCACAUCUAUCUCUCCAGCCCUGGUCAGGAAGCACUCUCCUGGGAGUGGACCUGGGGGCCUUGCUCCUAGAGCUGGAUCACACCUGAUACGGGCCAGUAACCCAGACCUGCGGAGGACUGAUGUCUCCAUGGAAACAUCCCUGAAGAGGACAAGCAGCAGCAGCUCAUCCAACUCCUCCCAGGGUGGAAGCAACGAGAGAGGGGCGGAGGGGUCUAUGGCGCCGCCCCAGGAGACCAAAGAAGAGAACAGAGAUGUGACACUGACACGACCUAGCAGGCCCGCAGACCUGACGGCUCUGGCCAAGGAGCUGAGGGAGCUGCGCCAGGGUGAGGAACCUAACCGCCCGCCCGUCAAGGUGACGGACUACUCCUCGUCCAGUGAUGAGUCACAGAGCGACGAGGACGGAGAGGAGGGAGGGGGAAGAAGUAACGACGGCUCUGUGUCUGUCAGCGACAUCCCACGCAUCAUGCCGGCUGCAGGGCAGAGUGGAGGUGAGUCGUACGGUGUGAUGGGAGGACAUGAUGAUUCCCACGGCAACAGUUCCCAAGACAGCUCCCUGAUGAUGAGAGAGACCUAUGGAGACAGGAGGCGGAGCUCCGCUCUCGCUGACAGCAGCGGUUUCUUCGGCAACGCCAAUCUGCCCGAUCUGGUGCAGCAAAGCCCUUCCCCCCUGGUCUCCCCUGGCAAUGGCUCUGGGCGCAGCCACUCCGAAUACGGCAUGGGCAGUGGCUCCAAGUCCUCCUCCUUCACGCCAUUCGUUGAUCCACGAGUCUACGGAACCUCCCCCACUGAGGAUGAUGAUGAGGAAAACUCUGCGUCCGCCCACUUUGCGAACGAGCUGCUGCUUCAGGAGCAGGCUAGACUGAACGAGGCCAGAAAGAUCAGUGUGGUCAACGUGAACCCGACCAACAUACGACCUCACAGCGACACACCUGAGAUACGCAAAUACAAGAAACGCUUCAACUCUGAGAUACUGUGUGCUGCUCUCUGGGGUGUGAACCUGCUGGUGGGGACAGAGAAUGGUCUGAUGUUGCUGGACCGUAGUGGUCAGGGGAAGGUCUAUAACCUGAUCAACCGCCGACGCUUCCAACAGAUGGACGUUCUGGAGGGCCUCAACGUCCUGGUCACCAUAUCAGGGAAGAAGAAUAAGUUGCGUGUGUACUACCUGUCCUGGCUGAGGAACAGGAUAUUACACAACGACCCCGAGGUGGAGAAGAAGCAGGGCUGGGUCACUGUAGGAGAGCUGGAGGGCUGUGUGCACUACAAAGUUGUGAAGUAUGAGAGGAUCAAGUUUCUGGUCAUCGCUCUGAAGAACUCAGUGGAGAUCUUUGCCUGGGCACCCAAACCCUACCACAAGUUCAUGGCUUUCAAGUCGUUCACUGACCUGCAGCACCACCCCCAGCUGGUUGACCUGACGGUGGAGGAGGGUCAGAGGUUAAAGGUUAUCUAUGGCUCCAGCGUCGGGUUCCAUGUCAUUGAUGUCGACUCUGGCAACCCUUAUGACAUCUACAUUCCCUCCCACGUAAGAGUGUGAGUGUGAGUGUGUGUGCGCUCAGAGAAGGAAACCUGAACCAGGUAACAUCUGAUUUCUCCACUCUGGUGGUGAGCCGUUGGUUCCCCUUUGAACUAUGACCUCUUAAAUGGUAACCCUACCUACUGUGUGGCAGUUAUGGUUUCAGGGCUCAAAUACCAUGACGUUUACCAUUUAUGUUGUUCAAACCAUGACGAUGCUAUUUUGUUUACAUUCUGUGUUACCAUGGUGAUUGUGUGAAUGUUGGAGUGGGAGAUUCCAUUGUUGCAGCAGUUUCUCCUCACACAGGGGGGUGGGAAGCUGGCCACGACAGGGAGGGGGGGGGGGAGAAGAGAGAGACAUUUAGAGAAAUCCGGGAAAGAAAGAGGUAGAGGAGUUGUGGGGGUCGUGCUCUGUGCCCGCCAGGCUGAUGCCACCCCACCCCUCCACUGUGUGGUAUCUAUCGCCCCCGGCAGAUUCAGAGUCAGGUGACGCCCCAUGCCAUCGUGGUGCUGCCGCGGACCGACGGGAUGGAGAUGCUGCUGUGUUACGAGGACGAGGGCGUCUAUGUCAACACCUACGGACGCAUCACUAAAGACGUGGUGCUGCAGUGGGGAGAGAUGCCUACUUCUGUUGCCUACAUCCACUCCAACCAGAUCAUGGGCUGGGGAGAGAAGGCCAUUGAGAUCCGCUCCGUGGAGACGGGACACCUCGACGGAGUUUUCAUGCACAAGCGAGCUCAGCGACUGAAGUUCCUGUCGGAGAGGAACGACAAGGUGUUUUUCGCCUCUGUGCGUUCCGGCGGCAGCAGCCAAGUCUUCUUCAUGACCCUGAACCGGAGCUCUAUGAUGAACUGGUAACCCUGGCAAACCCUCCUCCUUACUUCUUCCCUCCAUACUGUACAUACCUAACCAGAGGUCAGGGUGGAGGGAUGAAGAGAGAGAACUGAGACAGACGAGUAAACACAGAGCGGCUGGCGGCUCAGCAGAGACGGGAGGAGAGAAACAGUCUCCCAUCUGCAGUAGCAACCUACAACCACAAGAGGAACCAGAGAGGAACAGCAACUCCAGAUCACGCUCAGACAACACUCUUUCUCUCUGUUGUCUUAGUUUCUCUCAGGCUCUGUCUGAGAUGCCCCCCUAUUUCCUACAUAGUGCAAUACUUUUGGUCAGAGUAGGCAUUUUGGACAUAGCCUCAGUGUUUAUCCCAGGUGUUUUUGUCUUUGGGAGGUAGUGACAGGAUGUGCUAGUGUAGUCUCCCUAAUGGGGUCAGGGGUCAGCGACCAAGGGUAUUGUCAUGACCCCUGACCUUUGUGUAUAUAUGGUGGGGGUGAGUGUAGAUUCCUGACUGCUGGAGCAGUUUAAAAAAUAUCAAUAUUGUCACCAAUGGUCACCAAAAAAAUGAUACUCUUGGCAUAGAUGCCAUUCUUGUUCUAGUUCACCUGUGCUCCCCACUUUCUCUGCGAAUGUUCUAUUUGACAGUCAAUCUAUUUGCCGUAUUUCUAUCGUUACACAUUUGUAAAUGCCACAUUCUAUGAUAUGAAACAGACCUGCUUUCCUAUCGGACACUCUUCCACUGAGACAGAACAACAGAGAACAGACAAAAGGAAGACAGAAGAUGAUGAGAGACCGAGAGCAGUCUGAGUUUGUUUAGUUUAUCUUCCUCCUGAAAUUCAGCCUGUUUUGGUGGGAGUUUUGGCCUUCCAUGGUGACAUCACUAUUUUUGUAAAUUAGUUAGACCAAUAAGAAAGAGUUCCAAUCCUUUCUGCCAAUAGCAGCUAAUUUUGUUCCCCCCUUACCACUCCCAGACAGUACUAGCAAAAUUCUUGCUUAAGAAAUGUUUAUUUUUACCAUUUUAAUAGAAAACAAUCACAGGUACUUAAUUGUUACCCAGAAAUGAUUUGAUAUGGAGAUAAAAAUGGCUGCAUGGGACAGACGUAUGGGUUGGUUAAUGGUCAGACUUCUUCCUACACACCACCUCUUUUCUCCAGUUCUUCCCCUGUCUCCUUGGGUUCACCUGGUUCUGUACAUGUGCAUAGUGACACCUAUACUACUCAUCAUCAUCAAUUCUGACUAAGGCAAUACACAGGUCUAACUGGAGAGAUGCGUGGUUGGGACGAUUAACUUUCCAAAAUGAGACCCACCAUGUUAGCGUCAGUCAGGACCUUACACUGGGGUCGUUUAAAUGUACUCAAACUAGCUUUAGACGGCCAGGUAGAAUGACCACACUAUGAAUCUCCACCAUUAAGUUGAAUCACGUGUAGUCUUCUAGGAUACAGUGUCUGACUCCGUAACAUAAGAUCUGCCAAGAUAGUUGGUGAAAGUGGACGAGGGUGUCUGUGUGUACUGAACCAAUGAUGAUGAUUGACUACUGAUGUGGCGUUGUAUGUAACACAGGGUAAUAGGCAUGAGCCUAACUCCAUCCACUAAUCGCUUACCUCUUCGGUUGUCAUAGAUCUGAAAGGACUGGAUAAAUAUGUGUGACCGACCGGUGUAUGAACCUGGGUCGGCAGACCUCUUGCUUUUUCCUAUCUAGUCCUGUCAGAUCUGUGAAUACUGCAGGAGUAUAGGUUAGAGAGAAGGGGAUGAUUCCAAGAAACCGUAGGAGAAAUAUGAUUAAGCAUUUCAUUAUAUCUGACUGAUCAUUUAGAAAAAGACAGCCAUCAUGUUCAUACUAUAAGGCUUUCUACAGAAUAGAGAAAAUGGUUUAAGGGAUUUCUAAAAUGUUUUUAUCGUGGUAUAAUUUGUAUUUAAAUAUUUUGUAAGUAUCAGAGUAUGUGUGUGCAUAUGAGACUUGUCUUCCCUGCUAACAGUACAGAUUAAGUACAGAUUAAACUCUGCCACUGUUAAGACCGUCUGUGUGUUGAGUGACUGAGUGUGUGCUUUCAUCUCAUCUGAAUCACUGGGACAAUAACCCCGCCCCCAGACUGGUACUCCACUCCACUAUGUGAUGUUGAAACGUAACUGUCCUUCCUUGUACAGACAUGAUUACAGAGACGUCCUCUACUGCUUUACUUACUGUCUGGAUGUCUUCUGAAAUCUAAAAUGCACAGCAGCACCAUCACACACGGUUGGCCAAGUAAUUCCCUCCUGCCAACUUUGUCUCCCAUCUUGAGCUCCCUAACACACACAUUAUUCUAUCAGAGGUGCCGGUACUCAAGCUGUAGCAAAUGAGAAGAGCCUGAUCUCUGUACCAGUACCGGUCAGCACCAGCCCACUUCAACCACUGGUCUGAGAGCAGUUCUCCAGUGUUCUGUCCUGGUUGUCUGCAUGUAAAAGUGUGGGGAGAGCAGAUCAGGACUGACUGCAGUAGGCCUUCUCAUAGCUUCUUUAGACUUUUUUGGGCCUCAAAGCUCACAUCACAAAUAUUUGUUUUUCAAUUAGUGAAAACAUUGAUAAGGGAACACAAUGUUAGGCUGGUAUGUGUACACUGGAUCCUAGUGUCCUUACAGUUUAGUAAUAAAGAUAACUAACUACUGAGUUAAUGUUCUGACACCGAGACACAGAGGGAGGUAGUGUGUAUGGCUGAUGAGCUUGGAUACAUGUGAUUACUGAUGGUGAUUAAUGUGAUUCUGGAUGCUUUUUGUUUGGACUUUUCAAUGUAACCUACUGACACACACACUUCAUGUUUCCAAAUGACAACACGCAUUAAAGAUGUGCUGUGUGAAUGAC